UGGGGAAUAUUGGACAAUGGGCGAAAGCCUGAUCCAGCAAUGCCGCGUGAGUGAUGAAGGCCUUAGGGUUGUAAAGCUCUUUUACCAGGGAUGAUAAUGACAGUACCUGGAGAAUAAGCUCCGGCUAACUCCGUGCCAGCAGCCGCGGUAAUACGGAGGGAGCUAGCGUUGUUCGGAAAUACUGGGCGUAAAGCGCACGUAGGCGGCGUCGCAAGUCAGGGGUGAAAUCCCGGGGCUCAACCCCGGAACUGCCCUUGAAACUGCAAUGCUAGAAUCUUGGAGAGGCGAGUGGAAUUCCGAGUGUAGAGGUGAAAUUCGUAGAUAUUCGGAAGAACACCAGUGGCGAAGGCGACUCGCUGGACAAGUAUUGACGCUGAGGUGCGAAAGCGUGGGGAGCAAACAGGAUUAGAUACCCCCGUAGUCC
rnacentral:rRNA from 1 species